CCUUAACCCUUAUUUUGGUUGCAGCAGCAAGCUACAGGAUAAAUCAAGCCAGGAUCCAGGGGCAUGUGCGAGGUUUGGAGGCCACACAUGGGGCCAUUCCAGGCAGCACUGUGGGCUAAGCCCAAAGCAUCAGCCAGCAAUAAUUGCUAGAAACAAACUGAAAAGAGCAGGACAGGCUGUUGCCUUCCAAGGUAAUCUCUAUUAAGCAUCCUGACCAGAAAUAAGAGGAAGAAGCAGAGAACCCCUCAAACCCUGAGGGAGAAAAUGAAGCGAUUGUUGCAAGAGUCAGAGGAAGAAAUCAUGGUUACCUUGGGACCCUCCUCCAGGCUUUCCCCAGAUAAGGCUAAGGCAGAGACCAUGUGUGGCACCAAGAGCAAAUCCUCUGGCCCUGCUGGAUCCUUACCAGAGGACAACUCCCUGCCCCCUUGCUGUGGGUCAGCAGCCUUAGCCAUUGGUGGAGAUAGAGAUGGGGACCUGGCCCAGCUUUGCAGCUUUGGGCAGCAGAACAACAGCCAGCUUCCUCUGGGCUCCACUGCCUAUGUUUCAGGGUCUGGUU
rnacentral:lncRNA from 1 species